GCAGGUAAUUGUACGGCUGCCGGCUGUGUUAUAGUAAAUUAGGUUAUAAUUAGAGACAGGAAUAACGAAUGAAAUGUAGCUAAAUCUACAUGAGUGAGGAAAUGACGCAUAUCUAAUAGAACCUAAGAAACUAUAAAGGGCGGGAGGAAAGUCCGGACUCCAGAAAGCACGAUGCCGGAUAACGUCCGGCGGGGGCAACCUUAGGGAAAGUGCAACAGAAAGAUACCGCCUUGCAAAAGGUAAGGGUGAAAUGGUGCGGUAAGAGCGCACCGCGUUUGUAGUAAUACAACCGGCAUGGCAAACCCCAUCGGGAGCAAGACCAAAUAGGAAUGUUAAGCUUUAAUUAGCAAUAGUUGCUUUCACUAUAUAACAUUCGGGUAGGUCGCAAGAGUUUUAAAGUAAUUUAAAGCCUAGAUAAAUAGUCGUACUAGACAGAAUCCGGCUUAUAGAUUACCUGCAAAU
rnacentral:RNase_P_RNA from 2 species